rnacentral:rRNA from 1 species
AUUGAACGCUGGCGGCAGGCCUAACACAUGCAAGUCGAGCGGGGUUUUCGGACCUAGCGGCGGACGGGCGAGUAAUGCGUAGGAAGCUACCCGAUAGAGGGGGAUACCAGUUGGAAACGACUGUUAAUACCGCAUAAUGUCUACGGACCAAAGUGUGGGACCUUCGGGCCACAUGCUAUCGGAUGUGCCUACGUGGGAUUAGCUAGUUGGUGAGGUAAUGGCUCACCAAGGCGACGAUCCCUAGCUGGUUUGGGAGGAUGAGCAGCCACACUGGAACUGGGACACGGUCCAGACUCCUACGGGAGGAAGCAGUGGGGAAUAUUGGACAAUGGGCGCAAGCCUGAUCCAGCCAUGCCGCGUGUGUGAAGAAGGCCUUCGGGUUGUUAAGCACUUUCAGUAAGGAGGAAGCGUUGAGUGUUAAUAGUACUCAGCGUUGACGUUACUUACAGAAGAAGCACCGGCUAACUCUGUGCCAGCCGCCGCCGUAACAC